AGGGGUGUAGCUUAGUGGUAGAGCAAGUACCCAGCAUGUACUUGCUCCUGGGUUCAGUCCCCAGUGCCAAAA
rnacentral:tRNA from 1 species